rnacentral:rRNA from 1 species
ACUAGGAGUUAGAUACCCUAUUAUUAAAAUUUAAAAUUAUAAUACUAAAAUAGUAAUUAAUUAUUUAUUGAAACUUAAAUAAUUUGGCGGUAUUUUAGUUCAUUUAGAGGAAUCUGUUUAAUAAUUGAUAUUCCACGAAUAAAUUUACUUAAUUUAUAAUUUUGUAUAUCGUUGUUAUAAAAAUAUUUUUUAAUAAAAUUAAUAUUUUAAAAUUAUUAUUUAAAUUUAAAUCAGAUCAAGAUGCAGAUUAUAAUUAAGAAUAUAAUGGAUUACAAUAAAAUUAUUUAAAUGAAUAUAAAUUUGUAAAAAUUAAUUGAAAGUGGAUUUAAAUGUAAUUUUAUUUAAUUUAAUAAAAUGAUUAUAAAUUAAAAUAUGUACACAUCGC